UUCCUGUUACUUCCUUUAGCCUCAUUCAAUCCAACUGGACUUUAAGAGGCGGAGGGACGCCCAGGCUUUGGGCGCCGCCUGGGUCUGCAGCAGAGGCAGUGGCCUAACCCUGAGAGGUAGCCCAAGGUCAGGCCAGGGUCUGCGUCCUCCCCUCAGCUCUGCUGUCACAGACGACUGUGAACCCGCGGAGCUCCCAUCUCUGGAGCCUGGCCUGGGCCAGCGGCUCAAAGUGCUGCGUGCGCAGUGCCUGGCUCAAUCCCACCUGCAGCCUGGGAAGUCACAGGGUCACCCAGGGCUCCACGGCCUCCCUGACCACAAAAGGGGAAUCGCUGCAGCUCCUGGCAGCGGGCGUGGUCCGCUGUGAGGCUCCGGGGCUUCCAACACCUGAAAAUAUAAUUAUAAAAGUAAUGUAUUCAUACUUUCAAAAUUCUGGAAAUUACAGAAAAGUAUAAAGGAGGUAUUAAGAAUUAAUAAUUCUACCAACCAGGCAACAAGGUCUUUUGAAGACAUACCAAAAAAAUCAAUUACCACUAGACUCCAACUACAAGAAAUAUUCAAGAAAGCUUUUUAAGCUGAAGAAAAAUAAUACUAAAUAGAAACAUGGAGCUACACAAAGGAAUGAAGAGGACCAGAAAUGGAGGCUACAUUGACAAGCAUACUUUCUCUUAUCAUUUAAGUAUCUUUAAAAGAUGGUCAAUUGUGUAAAGCAAAAAUGAUAGGAAUGUACUCUGGGGCUUAUAAAAUAUUUAGAAGUAAAAUGUAUGACAUAAUAGCGUAAAGGCCAAAUGAAAGAUCCUUUUGGACACACUGUGU